rnacentral:rRNA from 1 species
GAUGAACGCUGGCGGCGUGCCUAAUACAUGCAAGUCGAGCGAACGGACGAGAAGCUUGCUUCUCUGAUGUUAGCGGCGGACGGGUGAGUAACACGUGGAUAACCUACCUAUAAGACUGGGAUAACUUCGGGAAACCGGAGCUAAUACCGGAUAAUAUUUUGAACCGCAUGGUUCAAAAGUGAAAGACGGUCUUGCUGUCACUUAUAGAUGGAUCCGCGCUGCAUUAGCUAGUUGGUAAGGUAACGGCUUACCAAGGCAACGAUGCAUAGCCGACCUGAGAGGGUGAUCGGCCACACUGGAACUGAGACACGGUCCAGACUCCUACGGGAGGCAGCAGUAGGGAAUCUUCCGCAAUGGGCGAAAGCCUGACGGAGCAACGCCGCGUGAGUGAUGAAGGUCUUCGGAUCGUAAAACUCUGUUAUUGGGGAAGAACAUAUGUGUAAGUAACUGUGCACAUCUUGACGGUACCUAAUCAGAAAGCCACGGCUAACUACGUG